rnacentral:rRNA from 1 species
AUUGAACGCUGGCGGCAGGCCUAACACAUGCAAGUCGAGCGAGCGGCGGACGGGUGAGAAAUGUCUGGGAAAAUGCCUGAUGGAGGGGGAUAAAUACUGGAAACGGUAGCUAAUACCGCAUACCAUCAGAUGAGCCCAGAUGGGAUUAGCUAGUAGGUGGGUUAACGGCUCACCUAGGCGACGAUCCCUAGCUGGUCAUAGAGGAUGACCAGCCCCACUGUAACUGAGACACGGUCCAGCCUCCUACGGUAGGCAGCAGUGGGGAAGAUUGCACAAUGUGCGCAAGCCUGAUGCAGCCAUGCCGCGUUUGUGAAGAAGUCCUUCGUGUUGUAAAGCACUUUCAGCGGGGAGGCGUUACCCGCAGAAGAAGCACCGGCUAACUCCGUGCCAGCAGCCGCGGUAAUUC